UAUGCACCCAUGGGACUGCUCUGCAGAAUGACCCAUGGAAAGGAGUUCAUUUGCAGCUUGAAUUAUUUGCGAUGCAUAACCUGAGUAGCUCUGGGGCUGCUAAACUAUCUCUGCAAGAAGAAACUUUUCCCUAGAAUAUUAGCAAACUUGUUAAUAUUAGCGAUGAAAAUGGAAGAUAAUGAUGGGAUUUUAAACGGACUCAGCUUACCCUAGUGCUUUACACAGAGAAGAAUGGCACCUGUGGUUGCAGUAGCUGAAGUAAUGAUUAUUAACACAUAAUAAAAACGGUGGAUAUUCCUGAUUUGGGCUGAUACUGCUCACCAAGUCUGAGACAGCUUGACAAGGCACAGGUAAAGAACUUGUACAAAAUAGGAUGUUUUUAUAAAGUGUUACAAAGUUCAUGCAUGACCUUUAGCAUUCAGACGUUGUUUUGCCAGCCUCUGAUUUUGUGCCCGGAGCCGGGCAGGACACUCAGGGCUGCGCACUGCGGAGCUGCGGGCCUGGGCACACCGAGGAGAUGGGAUCGGGGCUCCGGUGAACCCCUCGCCUGCCUUGCCCGUCAGCCCUUAGCUGCUGCAGCGUGCAGGAAACUCCCUCCCGCCUUCCUCUGCCGCGGGCUGAUUUAUGCUGGGUGCUAAAGCUGCCGGGAAUGGAAAGGUCUCUUCCCUGGAAUCGGCUGGGCAGGAUGCCGUUUUCCAGCCCGGGGAAGGAUGGUUUAUGGGUGUGCGGCUGCGAGGCGUGCGCGGGGCAGGGAGCAGGCAGGCCAGCAGCACGCCGGCUGCAGGAGGACGGACGGUGCGGAGCUGCGGCGCUGGUAACGUUAUUGCUGCGGCGGUUGUUGGCCGCACCUUGCAAUUUACGGAGGGCACGUUUCUAAGAAUAACAGCUGAUAAUGUCAGUAACAAUGCCCGGCACCAUGUCGCCGCUGACGGAAAUGCCAGACGGUGUCACGAUGGCACGUGACAGCGGUUAUCUGCCCGCCCGAGAGGGGACAGGCAGUGCCGCUGGGGUACAUCUGAGCACCUAGCUGCUCCUCCGAGGGAAUGAACUUCUCCUCCAGCCCCAAACGCGCGGAGCAGACAGCGGCGUGGUCAGAAUAGUGAUUAGUCCGCACGUUAAUAACGCCCCAGCCGCACUCUUCAUGCGGCUAACGCAUUGCAGCGUGGCACAGCGGCUCUGGGGAGGCACGGGGGGUCGGUGCCAGCGGCUCCCAGCCCCCCCUCCAGCCCCUGCAGCAGGUAGAUGAGCACUCCUGAGAGUGGAAACCACCAUCCUGUUCUGAAAUCAUCUUUGUCUGCAUUUAUUGUAUUUGCUUGUUCCAGGGGAGGCCUGCUUCCUCUGCUGCCCAGUGGAGAGGAUUUCCUUGUUGAAAUGCCACCAUAAUAAACACCUGCAUAGUAUUUACUGUUGCCUUGCUGUGUUUUUAACCCUGUAUGGCUUCUUUCGUUUCAAACAGGAACUGACCCACACUUCCCGUUCUUUAUCCAUCCCACAAUAUUCGAGUCAAAACUUAAUGUGGAGACCUGACAGGGUGAUGGCCAUCUGUUAUGCUUUUGUUUUCUAGUCCCAGCUAUCGAGGCUUUGUCAGAAAUGACAAGGUCUGUUCUCGCAAAAAAGUCUGAAAUACUGUGACACUCAGAAGCAUUUUCCCGCGUGAUCCCCAAAAGUGCGGGCUGAGAUCAUUUACAUCAAGGAGGCACCUGCUCUAAAUGCUUUGAGAGUUUUAGGUCAAACUGCUGACGUUCAGAGGCGUGUUUCUGACGGUGAGCUGCGCCUGCCGCGGGCUGGCUCCGCAGCAUGUGCCUGCUGCCGGCCACCGCUGCGGGACCGUGCGGGGACCAUGCCGGGCUCUUCUCCUCCUGCUCCUCCGCAGGACCGAGGGCACUCAGGCCAGGAGCGCGAGCAGCAUCUGCUUGGCUACUUCUGCAGGUAUGGGCAUGCAGGCCACGCUGAAGUUGCUUUCAAAAUCCUAGCUGUAUGUGCAUUCGUGUCACAUCGCUUGUCUUUUUGUGUAUGCUCAGGGCUUGAGAAAUAAGCUUUGACAUUCAGAAAAAAAACCAAACCCAAAAAGAAAUCAAAGAAGAGAUUACUGAUAAAAAGGAGCAAGCAGAGACAGAGGAGCAGCUGUCAGGAUGGACAAUGAAUGCUGCACAAAAGAAAGGACAAAUCUGCUGAAAAUAAUGCCCAGGAAGCUAAAGCUGCAUUGCUAGUAUGUGGGUAGAAUUGGGUAGAGCUGUAUUUUCUGAAGCAAAUGUAGAAGCUGUUUGGAAAUGUCCAAUAUUUAAAAACAGGAGAGGUAAAUACUAUUUCAUCGAGCUCUUUGAACAUGCUGCAUUUACAUUUUAGGUUUCCCACAUAAAAUGGGGACUUCUGCAUGUGUUCUGCACGUUUGUACCAUUUAUUUUCUCAGAAGAAGGUGCUGCUGUCCGUGAAGGUGCCAAGGUGUGCCAUUCCCCCAGACUUUCUGUUUUGCAGAACAGUGCUUUUGCCCUCGGCCAGAAUGGAGCAAUUCUUUGAAGAGAGCUGUGAAAAUGGGAAAGCCCAGCGUGCCCACCUGAUGAGGAGGAAGACCGAGAGCUCCUGCACUGCAGCAGAGCAGGGGAGCGAGGGGGCAGCGGGGCCGGGGGAGGCUGCACAGAGCACGACGCAGGGCACCCACGCAGGGCACCCACGCAGGGCGCCCGCCCUGCCGCGCUCCCCAGCCAGCCCCUCGCCGCUCUGCUUGUCGAGCGAGCGCAGCAGCAAGCGUGCGGCGCGGCAGAGCUCCUCUCGCCCCUUACCUGGGUGCGGGGAGGCUGGGGAGACCCGGGCAGCCCCCAGCCUCACCCGCAUGGUUGCACUGACUUCAGUAGCCCUGUGCCAGCGCACAUCGGCUGUGAUAACUUCUGCUAUUACAACGUGUAGGAGAACCACGUUUCUCUAUCCAGUUAGUACUAAGGCACAGCUCUCACUAAAAACUAAUUUUAUGGAAAUAAAUAGGAAGUAAAACAAUCUAUCACAGAUGUCUGACUUUGGAAGCAUGCUUUGGAAGCACCUUGAGGGCACUGCUCAGCCCUAAUGGCCCUGACCAGCCCCACCUGGGCCCCCCCACUCCGCCCAUGCCCAGGACCCCAUUUCAGCCCAGCCCAGGGGUGCUGCAGGAUGCUGCCCUCCAGUCCUACCUGAUGCCUGUGGGAGAUGUGACUGAGCCAGCUCGGUAACCUCAGUUGUGGAGGGGUUUCUGCAAGGAGCUGUGUACAUCUAGUUUUCAUCUAGUUCCAACAAGGCAGUCUUAACAGUUUUCAGUAUCACUGCUCAGUGUCAGCUCUUCCGAGGACAAGCUGGAUCCCCUUUGCACCUUGUCUGUUCUGCGUUGGCUUUCCCUGCCUUGCAGAAUUAACACCCCUGGGAGGUGUCAAAGAGCAGCCAUGCUGCACCGGAGACUGGGCACAGGACUCUGCAGAUGGAAACAGGGCCGGAGAGCUGAUCUACCAGAUGCAAGCUGCUGAGGAAGAGAACUAUGUGAGCAACUGAGCCACAGAGGGAUUGAGCCUGCCGUGCACGACAUGACAGACUCAGGAUACUGGUGCUCACCUGCACACCUGGGCACCUUUGCACACCUCUGACCAGGGAAGCCCUCACCAUGAACAGGUUCACCUGAAUUACUGCGAAUUGCAUUCAAGGUUCUGCAUUCCAGGUGGCACCAUGAAAACCGGUUUUGGAAAACUUGCUUUGUGGGCAACGCACCCUGGGUAGCGCCUGCUCUUCCAUUCUGAAUGCAGGGUGUUUCGGAGUGGUCACAGCGGUGUUUCGGAGCGGUCACAGCGGUGUUUUGGGGCGGUCACUGCGGUGUUUUGGGGCGGU